AUGCCUCACGAGGUGUGGCAAGCUUCUCCAUCCCCAGAACCGCUGCCGAUGCCGACUCCAACUCCGGUGUUUACAAAAGCCCUGCUGCAGCUGAGUCUCCGACAAAGUUCCUUCUCAGAAAGCGCCCCGGAGGACCUCCCUCCGCUCAGCGCUUGGCUCCCAGCAGCAUCGCAGCAGCCCACGGCGGAAUCCUGGGUCCCCAGGCCCACGGAGGCACGCACGCCUAAAUCCCUGCCCGUGUCCCAGGCAACAGAGGUCCUAGGCGAUAAUCUCUACACAAGUGCCCCCUGCUCACAAUCACGCUGCCUUUUCCCUUCUGCAAAGCGGUCUGGCAAUUCGUCCCAAGCUGCUCCAUGCCGAGCCAAGAUUUGCUAACCCAAAUGGUCCGUGGUAUGUUGUUCUCCUAACAAAGAGAAAGACAGUUUUCCCUUAAAGGAGAAUUCGGCUGCCAGCUCUAGAAUAACUGACAUUAACUAUUUGGUUGUGAAUUAUUUGAGAGGCUUAAUCAAAAUAUACAUUGACUGUUCCCAUUAAAAACGUGCUCUGGUGAAAGACUCAGG
rnacentral:lncRNA from 1 species